AUCAGCAUGCUGCUUCACUAAAGAAGCAGUAGGAGAAUCAAGACCAGAUGGACGAAGGGAAGGCAAAAAGAACUCUCUAAAAAUUGAUUGUCUGAGAGUACAACAGCAUGGCACCAGUGCUGUACUGUUCAUGAAGAAGCUUUGGUUUGUGAAUGAGGCAUCACUCUUUGGAUUAGAUAAGACAAAGAAAGCAGGAGAAAAGUGGCAGGAAUUUUUGUUGAGCAAUGGCUCUUCCCUUCACCCUAUUUUAAACACAAGUGCAAGAUGUGUCCAAAGAAAAUAUGAAGAAUUUGAUGAUGAUGAUGAUGAUGAUGAUGAUGGAGAACUUGAACAGGCCUUGAGUCCUUGCCAGAUAUCAGGUUCCUGGAGCAUGCUAAAAUCGCUAGAGAUGUCUGCAAUACAUCUGCAAUACAGCAGUGGGCAAAGGAACCUGAAGUGAAAGUCCUAUGUAAGAUUCCUGAUUUCACUUCCCUUCUGCCUUUUUACAAACCAAGAAGAAAU
rnacentral:lncRNA from 1 species